GUAAAACUUUCAGCGACGGAUGUCUUGCCUCCCACAACGAUGAAGAACGGAGCGAAAUGCGAUACGUCUUGCGACUUGCAGAAUCCACUGAAUCAUCAAAACUUUGAACGCAUCUUGCGCUUCCGGGAUAUGCCUGGGAGGAUGCUUGUCGGAGUGUCUGUU
rnacentral:rRNA from 1 species